GGGCAUGCAACAGUAUCCGACAAACCACCCAACUUAGAAUAAAGCUAACACAAAAUAUAAUACAUAUAUUACAAGUUACGACGUCAAAGGCACAUAAUGGACUUGGAAGGCUAGUAUUACUUACCAACACAGCAAUUACAAGAUGGAAUCUCUCCCUUAACAGCUGCAUUGCGUAAUUUCAAUCAAUAGUGUUCACUACAUUCAUACUCUACUUAAAUAAAUAACCACACACUAAAAACACAUGUUGAUUCAUUAUAUUAAUCAAAAGCAUAACGGAAUCAAACAUUUAUCAACUUAUCACUCCUUUUAUCAAUGGGCACUAAAAACACUGAAUGCAUGUGAUUGUAAGUAAUUAAUUAAUUUGAAAAUCACCAAACAAUUCAAUGUCCCACUCUUAUCAAUCAACAGGUUGAAAUGAAGCAGAUGCUUCUACCAUGUGCUGUCUGAAUUUAGAUUUAUAUAAAACAACUCAUUAAGAAUUGCACUCAAUCAUAAUUAUGUCAGAUGCAGAUAACUAUCUCUACAUGCCAACAUAAAGGACAAAACAUGUAAAACUAAAAACAGACAUAAUAGUUGAAUACCAAUGUAUAUAUAUUUUUAUUUCUUUUUACUAACUUUUUCAUUUCUCUAUAUACUCCUUUCCGAACAAGUAUCAAACACAAGUGCUUCUCUUCGAUGCAUUUAAAGGUUGACAAAGGAAGCUACUAACCUCCUACAGCAUUUUACAUGUGCAUUUAAAGGUGGGAAGCACUAGAUCUUCUAAAUUCUCAAAGCACCGACCUGUAAAAGCGUUGAGUUUUUUAAGGCAUCUUGUUUACAUAUGCAGUAAUGAGAGGAAAGAAACCAAUGAAAAAGUUCCAGACAAAAAGAAGAUUAAUUUUUAAAGUUCAAACCCUUCACAAUGCUUUCAGACAUUGACGGAUAAACAGAUGAAUAGCCAAAACCUUAAUAACAUAACCAUUGCAGUUGCAUGCAAACGGAUUCCUACGAAAACAUGAAAUCUAAGGAGAAAUAUAAUUAUAUAAAAAGGUAAAAAGCCUAGGAGAAUAAUAUGAUAUUUGAUGGAAAUAUAGUGCAAACUCACUUCAUAAAUCAUCUAACUUGCAAAAUCUUUCAUAUCUAAAGGAAUCUUCAUCAUCUGACAAUAAACAACUUAAGUCGUUAGAUAUCUUCAAUUCGUAAUCAAUAAGAAAUCUGGAAUUUCUUUCCCUUCAUUGUAAAUGUAAAAGGAAUUUGCAUAUUUCUGGAUACUUCAGCUUGAGUCAUAUGUACGGACAAUGUAGCAAGGAUCAACCAUGUCAAUGCAAGUUCUCGACAGACACAGAAAUAAAAAUAGAGAAGUGGAUACAGUCAUGUGUGGUAGAUGUUUAGUUGUCUGAUAAAGUGAAGUGCUUCAAACAACAACGCGACUGUCUUUUUCGGUGCACACAUGGUUUUAAGAGGCGGCAUUUUAGAUUAGCAUAAAACAAAAUACAAGUAAUAUGGAAGGAAAUAAGGAUAAUGGUAAUCUACAUGAUGAAAUCCACUUAUUACAAUAAUAUAUCUAAAAGGGGACAACAUGCCAACGGGCCGAAAGUAAGAGCCAAACAAACAAUUAAAUACAGGGUUUAUCUUAUUUUAAUCCGUAUCAGUCAACAAUUAUACACAAGCCAAAGAGAUAGGUUACAAAAUCUUGCACAACUCUAGGGAAAAAAGGAAAAAGUAUGGCUUGAAGCUAAACAGACAAAUCCGUCGCAAGUUAUACACUUUAAUACCAAGAACAAAACCGACAUAUGCUGAUAGAAUAUUGAGUAAAUGUCCAGUUAAUUGCAAAACGUAUUAUAAGUACGACACAUAUAUUACAUUGAGGUCUAAAUUUGGGUAAGGAACAUUUCUAAUACUAGGAUAACAAAAGAAGCAAGUACAUCAAACAUUCAUGAAUGCAUGCAACUGCAGGCUUGUCCACAUUGCAAAAAUGCUAUAGCGAUGAAUUGGACCAACAUCCGACUAAUCAUGAAUUCCACGUUUGCUUCUGUUUCAUUACUAAUCAUAAAACUAAACUAGUAGGAUUAAAGAAAUUUACCACUCAAGCAUUGCACCAGCAAAUUAAGUAGUGUGUGGAUAUUCAUGGCACUGUCUU
rnacentral:lncRNA from 1 species